UCCGAACAAAGAAUUAACCAUUAUAAAUCUUCAGUCUUCUUUAGCAAGGGGGUUUCUCAAGCCACAACGGAUGAGGUAAAGUUAAAGCUUAAUGUCCGGAAUGAAUCUCUCAGUGAUAAAUAUCUUGGGAUGUCAACUGAUGUUGGAUCUUCAAAAAAUGGGGCUUUUAAGUAUCUAAAGGAUAGAAUAUGCAGCAAGAUUCAGGGAUGGAUGUAA
rnacentral:rRNA from 1 species